UUGGUACUCCCUCCGUCCGGAAAUACUUGUCGCGGAAAUGGAUAUAAAUGGAUGCAUCUAAAACUAAAAUGCAUCUAGAUACAUUCAUUCCUCCGACAAAUAUUUACGGACGAAGGGAGUAUAUG
rfam:Triticum aestivum genome assembly, contig: Triticum_aestivum_CS42_TGACv1_scaffold_392777_5AS